rnacentral:rRNA from 1 species
CUGGUUGAUCCUGCCAGUAGUGAUACGCUGUCAUUAAGGACUAAGCCAUGCAUGUGUAAGUAUAAGAAGUACUCGAGACUGCGAAUGGCUCAUUAUAUCAGUUAUAGUUUAUUUGAUAGUCCCUUACUACUUGGAUAACCGUAGUAAUUCUAGAGCUAAUACAUGCGUCAAGAUCCGACUUCGGGAGGAUUGUAUUUAUUAGGUUACAAAACCAACCCUCUCUCGGGAGGUAGUUUGGGUGAGUCAUGAUAAGCAUGAGGAUCGCAGGGCUUUACGCCGGCGACGGAUCAUUGAAGUUCCU